rnacentral:misc_RNA from 1 species
UAGUUUUAGGUGGAGAUUCUAGAACUAAAUCAUGUUGAUUUUGAAAAACUUUGCAAAUCAGUGAAACUGUGCUGUUAAUGCUAUUUCUGUAUAGAAAUCCGAAAAUAAAUUUAGGCUGGAGAAAUUCUGUGGAUAAGCCACAAAAAGCCUUUAUUGAACCUGCUAUAAUUUGCACAUGAGCCCAUGGCUUAGUCUAUUGGUAGCAUAUAAUAAAAGAUGAUUAUGGCCUUUUUAAAAAUUUUUAUGUAAUAUGAUAUGUUCCUGGGAAUUUGAGUGUUGUGGCAUCUACAAUUUCUUACUGAAUAAUAACUCACUCCUUCUUUCCCAUUAUUAAUAGCUUUGACAUUGUAGAGAUAAAGACAUAAUACAAUUAGGCAUGAUGUGUGUGUGUGUGUGUGACGAACUCACACACACGCACCCACACACACAUAAAUUUUUUAAUGAGCUGUCUCAGCUGUACCUAUCACACCCAUUUUGUGAUUUUUAGAAUUUGUUCUUUUGUAGAUUAUAGAUGUGAUGUGGAUUACAGAUUCUAUAGCCAUCAACCUAAUGCUUAUGAAUUAUGCUUUGAUAUGGCUCUACAAGAGACCAUGUUGUAUCAUUAUUUAAGAGGAGGCUCCAUUGACUAUCAAUAUGUGUUUCCUCCUCCCCUUUUGUCCUCCUACAUUCCUAACACUGAUGGCAAACCAUUCAUAAUCAAUUGCUGUGAUGGUCUUGUAACUCAUAUAAUGAAUCCUAUUCCAUUGGUGAAAAUACUUGGCCUUGCUGAUUUCAGCCUUGUAAUUCUCCACUUGUGAUACUGGCAUCAAUAAAUGCCCAUUUAAUUUGCCCUUGAUUUUCAUAAUCUUGGUCCUUGUAAAUUGUAAUCCGUUCCAUAGAGUAAAGUGGCAAGUCCAGUUGAGUAAGAUGAGAUUCAUCGAUGCCAUCAGAAAGCAUGACCACCUACUCCGGCUCCCCACUAUCAACAUCAUCGGUGGGCACAGUAUCAUCGUCAUCCACUAUAAUAGCCCUCAAAGACUUGUUGGGACAUUCAUGAAAAGUACUAUAUGACUACUUGCAUUUAUAGCACAACCCUUUAGCACGCAAAUCCAAGAACUCAUGUUGAGUGAAAAGGCCCCCUAGCUUAGUUAAUGCUGCUAGAGAACCACGCUGGGGAAGGGAAGGAAGAGCUCUAGUUUUGCUAGAAGUAGUUGUGGAUUUGUCUGCAGAAGAAAUAGACUCCUUAGUAAUACUAGGCCCAGAAGAAGUAAUGGGCUUAAAGCUGGAAAAAAGAAGACUGAAACUGAGUACUAGAACUCAAUUUAGACCCCUCCAUGAGAAGAAAAAACCUUCCGACGAUCAUCUGCCUAGGAAACCCAACUUCGUGCACUAGAUUUCUGAAUGUGCAACUCCCUUUCUAUUUCUUGUGCCAAAUUCAUGGUAUGACAAAUAUCGGUGGUUUUAUGCCAGCGGAUCUUCAAUCUGAUCUCUAGCUUUAAUCCUUUCAAGAAAAAAAAAAACCUAUAUAAUGGGAAUCAAUAAUUCCCGUCACUUGGGAAGCUUGGGUAACAAAGAGAUCAAUGUAAUCCUGCACCGAACUCUCUAAUUGGAGUGCAGCUAAAUGGACCGGCAAUGACAUCCCCACCAUAUCGUUGGAAUAAUUCGAUAGAAAACUUUCCUAAGUCAUCUAGGGGCACGUAGUUGAAGCCACCAAAACCAAUGAAGGGCAGAACCCUCCAUGCACACAAGAGCCAACGGUACUUCCAUGUUAACCUGGGUUUGGUGAGUAGUGGAAUAGAAUAAUGAUAGGCAUGAGCCAACCAUCCCAUGGGGUCUUCUCCAUCAAACAUGGUUAGCUCAAAUUUCUUAGCUGAUAAUUGAGAAUCAUCUGAGAGAGGUAAGGGAAGGCUAACACGUUGAAUAGAUGAUUCACUUGUCAUGGUCGAACUUGCAGGCGUCAAUGAUGGCCUCCAAGGUAGACGCCUGCAUUUUCCCUUUCAGCAUAAUGGCCAUCAUACCCUCAAGCAAAUCCAAUUCAUUCCCACCAUUUUUGACUUCCUCACUAUCUGUGCCAUUAACAACUGCCCUUGCCCUUCCAGAAACUUCUGCUAUUUUAGACCCUUCCACAGCUUGUUUGGGCCUUCGUGAGUGCACCUUCAACAGUCCUGGGCCUUUGUUCGAAGCCCAACUUCCUGAUUUGAUCCCUAACGUGGUCUCAACUAUAUUUGUCUUCUUUUGACCCUUUGCUUUGAUGCAGUGGAUGGUGAAGGUUAAGGUUAGGAAACUAAAAAUGGAACGAAUAAACUAAAUCGAUGGAAUAGGGGAGAGUCAGUGGUCCAGUGGAUGGACAGGGAUGAGGGUUGAUGAAGUAAAAAGGCAAAUGGAAGAAGAAGCAUUGGGCUCUGAGGAAUUGAGUUUGAAGAGAGAGGGUGAGCAUAAUGAAAUUGAAAGGGGAGGGGGCUUUCCUUGGCUGCAGCAUCAACACCUUUUUGUAAGGAGGGUAGGGGAACGAUAAUCCUUAAAACAUUAAACGCAUCUUAUAAGGAAUUCCAGUUUUUUUUUAAAACCAAACCAAACCGAAAAAAAUGAAAAUUUUUUAAU